rnacentral:rRNA from 1 species
UACGAAGGGGGCUAGCGUUGUUCGGAUUUACUGGGCGUAAAGCGCACGUAGGCGGAUCGAUCAGUCAGGGGUGAAAUCCCAGAGCUCAACUCUGGAACUGCCUUUGAUACUGUCGAUCUGGAGUAUGGAAGAGGUGAGUGGAAUUCCGAGUGUAGAGGUGAAAUUCGUAGAUAUUCGGAGGAACACCAGUGGCGAAGGCGGCUUCCUGGACUAAUACUGACGCUGAGGUGCGAAAGCGUGGGGAGCAAACAGG